CCAGGGGCCUGACGGUACCAGGAGAAGAAGCACCGGCUAACUCUGUGCCAGCAGCCGCGGUAAUACAGAGGGUGCAAGCGUUGUUCGGAAUUAUUGGGCGUAAAGCGCGUGUAGGCGGCUUUGCAAGUCAGAUGUGAAAGCCCUCGGCUUAACCGAGGAAGUGCGUCUGAAACUGCAGAGCUUGAGUCUCGGAGAGGAUGGCGGAAUUCCGCAAGUAGAGGUGAAAUUCGUAGAUAUGCGGAGGAACACCGGUGGCGAAGGCGGCCAUCUGGACGAGAACUGACGCUGAGACGCGAAAGCGUGGGGAGCAAACAGGAUUAGAUACCCUGGUAGUCCACGCUGUAAACGAUGAGAACUAGGUGUCGUGGGUGUUGACCCCCGCGGUGCCGCAGCUAACGCAUUAAGUUCUCCGCCUGGGAAGUACGGCCGCAAGGCUAAAACUCAAAGGAAUUGACGGG
rnacentral:rRNA from 1 species